AGCGGCCAUACCAUGCUGAAAACAACGCUUCUCUUCCGCCCACCGAAGUUAAGCAUCAUCUGGCGCUGUCAGUACUUGGGAGGGUGUCUACCUGGGAACAUCGCGUGCCGUU